rnacentral:rRNA from 1 species
UACAGAGGUCCCAAGCGUUGUUCGGAAUUACUGGGCGUAAAGCGCGUGUAGGCGGCAGCGUAAGUCGGGCGUGAAAUCCCACGGCUCAACCGUGGAAGUGCACUCGAAACUGCGCAGCUAGAGUCCUGGAGAGGAAGGUGGAAUGCUUGGUGUAGAGGUGAAAUUCGUAGAUAUCAAGCGGAACACCGGUGGCGAAGGCGGCCUUCUGGACAGUGACUGACGCUGAGACGCGAAAGCGUGGGGAGCAAACAGG